rnacentral:tRNA from 1 species
AUUUAAAUAGUGUAACUACAACACUUAACAUUUUCAUUGUUAGAAUCUUUUGAGUUUAAAUU